UUUGCCCAUUUUCUUUUGAACACUGGUUCUUGGCCUUGUGCCCAGUGUUUGUCCUUGGAUUUGUGCCCAGAGGGUGACCACGUGCUGCAGAGCCCUGUGUGCUCCAUGAUGAGGCCCUGGAAGCACCAGGCCAAGAAGCAGGGAACACAGUGCUCUGGUUAAAUGCACACUUGCUUGCUGGAACUCUUUUCAGAUAAGACUUCCUGGCUAAGUGUCCAUUUGAUCAAGGCCUGAACAAAUCUGCUGGGGUGGUUUAAUUUACCUCUGAACUAAGAAGAAGAAUGCACAAAAAUAACAGUGAAUAGUAUAAAAAUAUAAAAAUUAUUUAUAUCAGGGAAAGGAAAUAUCAUACAAAGUCUGAGAAAAGUGGCUACCUAAGGCCAAAGGCACAAAGAGCCUGCCUCAGGAAUGUGGAGCAACAGCCUAUGUUCAAAAAUGUCUUAAUGUUUAAAAAGGGACCCAGAGUGAAGCUCUGAAUUGAAUGAAUUGCUGAGCAAUUCAUCCAACCCUCUGUCACCUUGGCCACAAAACAUGUUGACUGGUCUGUAUCCGUCACGGAUUUUGGUCUGGUGCAGACAUUGACCUGUAUGCUCCUCUCAUGAGAAUUUUCCACAAUGGGACCUUUGACUUGUACUCUUCUCCUACAGCACCAGCCUAUUUUUAGGUAUUUUCAUUGGUCUCUUGGUGGGAAAUCCACUGUAUCUCCCAGUACCAGGGCUCCAGUUAAUAUGGCUGGAUCCUAUUCACCCCUGGAAGAGAAUGAAAUUCUACCAUUUACACUAACA
rnacentral:lncRNA from 1 species